AUUGAACGCUGGCGGCAGGCUUAACACAUGCAAGUCGAGCGGAGAUGAGGUGCUUGCACCUUAUCUUAGCGGCGGACGGGUGAGUAAUGCUUAGGAAUCUGCCUAUUAGUGGGGGACAACAUUCCGACAGGAAUGCUAAUACCGCAUACGACCUACGGGGGCAAGCAGGGGAGCUUCGGACCUUGCGCUAAUAGAUGAGCCUAAGCUGGAUUAGCUAGUUGGUGGGGUAAAGGCCUACCAAGGCGACGAUCUGUAGCGGGUCUGAGAGGAUGAUCCGCCACACUGGGACUGAGACACGGCCCAGACUCCUACGGGAGGCAGCAGUGGGGAAUAUUGGACAAUGGGCGGAAGCCUGAUCCAGCCAUGCCGCGUGUGUGAAGAAGGCCUUUUGGUUGUAAAGCACUUUAAGCGAGGAGGAGGCUACCUGGAUUAAUACUCUAGGAUAGUGGACGUUACUCGCAGAAUAAGCACCGGCUAACUCUGUGCCAGCCGCCGCAGUAAUAC
rnacentral:rRNA from 1 species